rnacentral:rRNA from 1 species
UACGUAGGGGGCGAGCGUUGUCCGGAUUUAUUGGGCGUAAAGAGCGUGUAGGCGGCCAGGUAGGUCUGCUGUGAAAACUCGAGGCUCAACCUCGAGACGUCGGCGGAAACCAUCUGGCUAGAGUCCGGAAGAGGAGAGUGGAAUUCCUGGUGUAGCGGUGAAAUGCGCAGAUAUCCGGAAGAACACCCGUGGCGAAGGCGGCUCUCUGGGACGGUACUGACGCUGAGACGCGAAAGCGUGGGGAGCGAACAGG